GAUGAACGCUGGCGGCGUGCCUAAUACAUGCAAGUCGAGCGAACGGACGAGAAGCUUGCUUUUCUGAUGUUAGCGGCGGACGGGUGAGUAACACGUGGAUAACCUACCUAUCAGACUGGGAUAACUUCGGGAAACCGGAGCUAAUACCGGAUAAUUUUUUGAACCGCAUGGUUCAAAAGUGAAAGACGGUCUUGCUGUCACUUAUAGAUGGAUCCGCGCUGCAUUAGCUAGUUGGUAAGGUAACGGCUUACCAAGGCAACGAUGCAUAGCCGACCUGAGAGGGUGAUCGGCCACACUGGAACUGAGACACGGUCCAGACUCCUACGGGAGGCAGCAGUAGGGAAUCUUCCGCAAAGGGCGAAAGCCUGACGGAGCAACGCCGCGUGAGUGAUGAAGGUCUUCGGACCGUAAAACUCUGUUAUUAGGGAAGAACAUAUGUGUAAGUAACUGUGCACAUCUUGACGGUACCUAAUCAGAAAGCCACGGCUAACUACGUG
rnacentral:rRNA from 1 species